AUACGUAGGGGGCGAGCGUUGUCCGGAAUGAUUGGGCGUAAAGGGCGCGUAGGCGGCCGAGUAAGUCUGGAGUGAAAGUCCUGUUUUCAAGAUGGGAAUUGCUUUGGAUACUGUCGGGCUUGAGUGCAGGAGGGGUAAGUGGAAUUCCCAGUGGAGCGGUGAAAUGCGUAGAGAUUGGGAGGAACACCAGUGGCGAAGGCGACUUACUGGACUGUAACUGACGCUGAGGCGCGAAAGUGUGGGGAGCAAACAGGAUUAGAUACCCUGGUAGUCCACACUGUAAACGAUGAAUGCUAGGUGUAGGGGGUAUCGACCCCUUCUGUGCCGCAGUCAACACAAUAAGCAUUCCGCCUGGGGAGUACGGCCGCAAGGUCGAAACUCAAAUGAAUCGACGGGG
rnacentral:rRNA from 1 species